CCAUCAGUAAUUUACAACGAUUGCAGUAAAAUUUGCGCGACGCAUACAUAAAAAUACACAGAAAAAUACACUGCGCACUUCUAGAAGUGCUUGGAAGAAAUGAAAACGAUUGUGUGCCAAUUUUGUACAAUUGGAUAUCACCCUGCUAAUUUUCCCCAGGAUUGAACUUCGUCUACUGAAAUAUUUUGCGGUCACAGCGAGCGGUUCGGUAUUACGAUCAAGCAGGAGGAUAUCUUGUACGCAUGCAGCUGGAGCGGGAAUAGGCUGUCGCCGCUAUCCCACCACCGGAGGCUAAAGAAAUUAAUCCGCACUCGGUGCCCAUUUAGCAGAGUUUCAAGCGUCGGAAGUAUUCCUGUGAUCAAACGCGGAUACCUUGUCUAUCUUUACGGACUAUUGAUUAAACUUUACCGUGGAAGUCCGUGGCUCGCUUUGUGUAAACUGAUACAUGGAAGGUCGGAAACUUCCGGAUUAACUGAAGAACCGUGUUGUAUUAAUGGAAAAAUCGAAUUCAUUUUUAUUUUACGAAGUAAGGCACCAAGGAAUAUUGUUUCUCUCCCGUUGCUUUACGGAAGAUAUACACAUGAGCCUACGAGUACGACUGUACGAGUAAUUGUUGCAAGGGCUCCUUCGUCUUUUAAUGCGACUGAAGACAUGGUUGUUCUUUUGUUACUGUAAACUUUUAUGUAGUUUGAUUUACGCUUUCAUUUCUGUAACUCGGGUUUGCUUUGUAUUUAUUGCUACAAAAUUGGUCCAUAUUGA